AGAGUUUGAUCCUGGCUCAGGAUGAACGCUGGCGGCGUGCUUAACACAUGCAAGUCGAACGAUCCUUCGGGAUAGUGGCGGACGGGUGAGUAACGCGUGGGAAUCUGCCCUUAGGAGGGGGAUAACGGCUGGAAACGGCCGCUAAUACCCCAUAUGCCGAGAGGUGAAACGAAUUUCGCCUGAGGAUGAGCCCGCGUCUGAUUAGCUAGUUGGUGGGGUAAAGGCCUACCAAGGCGACGAUCAGUAGCUGGUCUGAGAGGAUGAUCAGCCACACUGGGACUGAGACACGGCCCAGACUCCUACGGGAGGCAGCAGUGGGGAAUUUUCCGCAAUGGGCGAAAGCCUGACGGAGCAACGCCGCGUGAGGGAUGAAGGCCUCUGGGCUGUAAACCUCUUUUCUCAAGGAAGAAGAACUGACGGUACUUGAGGAAUAAGCCACGGCUAAUUCCGUGCCAGCAGCCGCGGUAAUACGGGAGUGGCAAGCGUUAUCCGGAAUUAUUGGGCGUAAAGCGUCCGCAGGCGGCCUUGUAAGUCUGUUGUUAAAGCGUGGAGCUCCUCCAUUUAAGCAAUGGAAACUACAAGGCUGGAGUGUGGUAGGGGCAGAGGGAAUUCCCGGUGUAGCGGUGAAAUGCGUAGAUAUCGGGAAGAACACCAGUGGCGAAGGCGCUCUGCUGGGCCAUAACUGACGCUCAUGGACGAAAGCCAGGGGAGCGAAAGGGAUUAGAUACCCCUGUAGUCCUGGCCGUAAACGAUGAACACUAGGUGUCGGGGGAAUCGACCCCCUCGGUGUCGUAGCCAACGCGUUAAGUGUUCCGCCUGGGGAGUACGCACGCAAGUGUGAAACUCAAAGGAAUUGACGGGGGCCCGCACAAGCGGUGGAGUAUGUGGUUUAAUUCGAUGCAACGCGAAGAACCUUACCAGGGUUUGACAUCCUGCGAAUCCCUUGGAAACGAGGGAGUGCCUUCGGGAGCGCAGUGACAGGUGGUGCAUGGCUGUCGUCAGCUCGUGUCGUGAGAUGUUGGGUUAAGUCCCGCAACGAGCGCAACCCACGUCUUUAGUUGCCAGCAUUCAGUUGGGCACUCUAUAGAGACCGCCGGUGAUAAACCGGAGGAAGGUGUGGAUGACGUCAAGUCAUCAUGCCCCUUACAUCCUGGGCUACACACGUACUACAAUGCUACGGACAAAGGGCAGCAAGCUCGCGAGAGUUAGCAAAUCCCAUAAACCGUGGCUCAGUUCAGAUCGUAGGCUGCAACUCGCCUACGUGAAGGAGGAAUCGCUAGUAAUCGCAGGUCAGCAUACUGCGGUGAAUACGUUCCCGGGCCUUGUACACACCGCCCGUCACACCAUGGAAGUUGGCCAUGCCCGAAGUCGUUACUCCAACCCUUGUGGAGGAGGACGCCGAAGGUGGGGCUGAUGACUGGGGUGAAGUCGUAACAAGGUA
rnacentral:rRNA from 1 species